rnacentral:rRNA from 1 species
GGGGGGGGGGGGGGGGGGGGGGGGGGGGGGGAGGGGGGGGGAGGGGGGGGGGGGGGGGGUCCUCUGACGGUGGCGGCGGACGGGGGGGUAGCGCGUGGGUCACCUGCCUAUAAGACUGGGAGCACUUCGGGAAACCGGAGCUAAUACCGGCUAAUAUCUGGGCCCGCAUGGUUCAAUAGUGAAAGGCGGUUUUGCUGUCACUUCUAGAUGGGUCCGCGCCGCCUUAGCUAGUUGGUAAGGUAACGGCUUACCAAGGCAACGAUGCGUAGCCGACCUGAGAGGGUGAUCGGCCACACUGGAACUGAGACACGGUCCAGACUCCUACGGGAGGCAGCAGUAGGGAAUCUUCCGCAAUGGGCGAAAGCCUGACGGAGCAACGCCGCGUGAGUGAUGAAGGUCUUCGGAUCGUAAAACUCUGUUAUUAGGGAAGAACAAAUGUGUAAGUAACUAUGCACGUCUUGACGGUACCUAAUCAGAAAGCCACGGCUAACUACGUG